rnacentral:rRNA from 1 species
AUUGAACGCUGGCGGCAUGCUUUACACAUGCAAGUCGAACGGUAACGCGGGGGCAACCCUGGCGACGAGUGGCGAACGGGUGAGUAAUACAUCGGAACGUGUCCCGUAGUGGGGGAUAGCUCGGCGAAAGCCGGAUUAAUACCGCAUAUGCUCUACGGAGGAAAGCAGGGGAUCCGCAAGGACCUUGCGCUAUGGGAGCGGCCGAUGUCCGAUUAGCUUGUUGGUGAGGUAAAGGCUUACCAAGGCGACGAUCGGUAGCUGGUCUGAGAG